rnacentral:rRNA from 1 species
CUCUUGAUUUAUGAUAAGAGGUCCAGCCUGCCCAGUGAAUUUUUAACGGCCGCGGUAUCCUAACCGCGCGAAGGUAGCAUAAUCACUUGUUCUUUAAAUGGGGACUCGUAUCAACGGCAUCACGAGGGUUUUACUGUCUCCUCUUUUUGAUCAGUGAAAUUGAUCUUCCCGUGAAGAAGCGGGAAUACUCAUAUAAGACGAGAAGACCCCAUGGAGCUUAAAACCAAAUAGUAACUUAACCACAUAUUUCCUUAUAACUUUAAGCCUAUACCAUGAGGUUUUUGGUUGGGGUGACCGCGGAGUAAAACAUAUCCUCCACGACGGAAAGACUACAAUCUUUAUUUAAGAAUCACAGUUCUAAAAAUUAGCAUACUAACGUUUACUGACCCGAUAAUCGAUCAACGGAACAAGUUACCCUGGGGAUAACAGCGCAAUCUACUUCAAGAGCCCAUAUCGACGAGUAGGCUUACGACCUCGAUGUUGGAUCAGGGUAUCCCAGUGGUGCAGCCAUUACUGAAGGUUCGUUUGUUCAACGAUUAAAACCCUACGUGAUCUGAGUCA